CGUAGGUGGCGAACGUUAUCCGGAAUUAUUGGGCGUAAAGGGUGCGUAGAUGGUUUAGUAAGUUAUCGGUGGUAAAUCGAGGCCCAACCUCGUGGAAGUUGGUAAUACUACUAUACUUGAGUACAGGAGAGGUUAACGGAAUGGUUCAUGUAGGGGUAAAAUCCGUAGAUAUCGAGAGGAACACCUGCGGCGAAGGCGGGUUGCUGGGCUGACACUGACGCUGAGGCGCGAAAGCUAGGGGAGCGAACGGGAUUAGAUACCCCGGUAGUCCUAGCCUUAAACGAUGAAUGCUUGGUGUCUGGGGUUUUAUAGUCCCCGGGUGCCGUCGCUAACGCUUUAAGCAUUCCGCCUGGGGAGUACGGUCGCAAGACUG
rnacentral:rRNA from 1 species